CAGCCGCCGCGGGAAUACGUAGGGUGCGAGCGUUAAUCGGAAUUACUGGGCGUAAAGCGUGCGCAGGCGGUUUUGUAAGACAGAGGUGAAAUCCCCGGGCUCAACCUGGGAACUGCCUUUGUGACUGCAAGGCUAGAGUACGGCAGAGGGGGAUGGAAUUCCGCGUGUAGCAGUGAAAUGCGUAGAUAUGCGGAGGAACACCGAUGGCGAAGGCAAUCCCCUGGGCCUGUACUGACGCUCAUGCACGAAAGCGUGGGGAGCAAACAGGAUUAGAGACCCCCGUAGUCCCUGUCUCUUAUAC
rnacentral:rRNA from 1 species